CAGCAGCCGCGGGAAUACGAAGGGGGCUAGCGUUGUUCGGAUUUACUGGGCGUAAAGCGCACGUAGGCGGAUCGAUCAGUCAGGGGUGAAAUCCCAGAGCUCAACUCUGGAACUGCCUUUGAUACUGUCGAUCUGGAGUAUGGAAGAGGUGAGUGGAAUUCCGAGUGUAGAGGUGAAAUUCGUAGAUAUCCGGAGGAACACCAGUGGCGAAGGCGGCUCACUGGUCCAUUACUGACGCUGAGGUGCGAAAGCGUGGGGAGCAAACAGGAUUAGAUACCCCGGUAGUCCCUGUCUCUUAUAC
rnacentral:rRNA from 1 species